rnacentral:rRNA from 1 species
UGGCCAAGAGGGAAACAGCCCAGAACGCCAGUUAAGGUCCCUAAUAUAUGCUAAGUGGUUAAGGAGGUAGAGUUGCAUUGACAACCAGGAGGUUGGCUUAGAAGCAGCCAUCCCUUGAAAGAGUGCGUAAUAGCUCACUGGUCAAGCGACUCCGCGCCGAAAAUACACCGGGACUCAAGCAUAUAACCGAAGCUGCGUCAUUUGAGUUUACUCAGAUGGGUAGGGGAGCGUUCUGUUGUAGGACGAAGUAAGAUCGAAAGGACUUAUGGACGAAACAGAAGUGAGAAUGUCGGCAUAAGUAGCGAAAACAUUGGUGAGAAUCCAAUGCACCGUAAACCUAAGGUUUCCCCUGGCAGGCUCGUCCGCAGGGGGUUAGUCGGAACCUAAGAUGAGGCCGAAAGGCGUAGUCGAUGGACAUCAGGUUGAUAUUCCUGAACUAUCUGGUAAUCGUUAUCAGAUGCGGAGGGACGCAGGAGGAUAGGCACGCAGCCGACUGGAAGAGGCUGUUUAAGCGUGUAGCUAGUUUGAGUAGGAAAAUCCGCUCAGGCGUUAUGACGUGAGGCGUAAUGAGGAGAGUCUACGGACUCGAAGGUGUUGACUCCACACUGCCAAGAAAAACUUCGCAAUCGAGAUUAUCCGGUAUCCGUACCGUAAACCGCCACAGGUAGGUUAGUAGAACAUACUAAGGUGCGCGAGACAACUCUCGCUAAGGAACUCGGCAAAAUCACCUCGUAACUUCGGGAGAAGAGGUACCCUGGUAGAGUGAAGCGAUUUACUCGUGGAGCUUGAUAGGGUCGCAGUGAAUUGGCCCAUGCGACUGUUUACCAAAAACACAGGUCUCUGCUAAGUCGAACAAGACGAUGUAUAGGGGCUGACGCCUGCCCGGUGUCGGAAGGUUACGUGGAAGGGUUAGUAGUAAUACGAAGCUCUGAAACUAAGCCCCGAUGAACGGCGGCCGUAACUAUAACGGUCCUAAGGUAGCGAAAUUCCUUGUCAGGUAAGUUCUGACCCGCACGAAUGGCGUAACGAUAUGGGCGCUGUCUCGGCGAGAGGCUCGGCGAAAUUGGAUUAUCCGUGAAGAUACGGAUUACGUGUACCAGGACAGAAAGACCCUAUUGAGCUUUACUGUAGCUUGAAAUUGAAUUCGGGUUCUUAUUGUGCAGUAUAGGUGGGAGACAAUGAAGAAGGGACGUCAGUUCUUUUGGAGUCAUCGUUGAGAUACCACUCUGUAAUAAUUUGAAUUCUAACACUGAUCCCUCCAAUAACAGGGCAGUGGACAGUUUCUGGUAGGCAGUUUGACUGGGGCGGUCGCCUCCUAAAAAGUAACGGAGGCGUUCAAAGGUUCCCUCAGGUUGGUCGGAAAUCAACCGUUGAGUGUAAUAGCACAAGGGAGCUUGACUGCGAGACCUACAAGUCGAGCAGGUACGAAAGUAGGAUAUAGUGAUCCGGUGGUUCUGUAUGGAAGGGCCAUCGCUCAUCGGAUAAAAGUUACCAUAGGGAUAACAGGCUUAUCUCCCCCAAGAGUCCACAUCGACGGGGAGGUUUGGCACCUCGAUGUCGGCUCGUCGCAUCCUGGAGCGGUAGUACGUUCCAAGGGUUGGGCUGUUCGCCCAUUAAAGCGGCACGCGAGCUGGGUUCAGAACGUCGUGAGACAGUUCGGUCCAUAUCCGGUAUACGCGCAAGAGAUUUGAACGGAGUCUUCCUUAGUACGAGAGGACCGGGAAGAGGGGACCUCCAGUGUACGGGUUAUUGCGCCAGCAGUAAACGCCCGGUAGCUGUGUUCCAAGCGGAUAAGUGCUGAAAGCAUAUAAGUACGAAGCCCACCGUAAGAUAAGAUCUCUCAUGACACAAGUCAGUAAGUCCCCGUGCAGAUUACACGGUUGAUAGGUCAGAGAUGUAAGAAUGGCAACAUUUUCAGUCGACUGAUACUAAUAGGACGAGGGCUUUUCCUA